GACCGCGUAGCUCCGUUGGCAGAGCAUUGUCAUUGGGCUAGUAUUCCAAAGGUCGUAGGUUCGAUUCCCACCGUGGCCA